GGAGAGCGGACGAAUAGCGCCCGGGCUGGGGUGAUCCGUUUAUCAGGAUACGGCAUCGAUGGUGUUGACAGCAUGCAGGAGCAAUAAAUGAAACAUGGGUGAUUUCGUUAAAAUUCACAAUACGAUGGAGUACUCGGAUGGAACGAACCGUACGGACAGUAUAUACGAAUUGAAUUUGGGUAGCUGUGAGCGAGCUCGACAUAAAUUGCAUCGGGUCACCUGGUGCAGGUUGCAGCCUGGAACAGCUUGUACCCCCGAUUGGUCAGGCCCAUCAUGUAUUCAAUCAUCCUGUACCAAAAUCCUACUGCCAGCGUCAUUCCCCAAUCUCUUUGAGCUCGACGGAGAUAGCGAGGUGAUUUCGUCUGCGGCGGCGCUCCUUCCACGCUGGAGCGAGGCCAAGCGCCCGGCGAAGAAUUGAGCAAAUUCUCCCUCUGCAAAGCUCACGGGCACCGAGUUCUUCGGAGAUCUUGUGCCAAGUUUGAAACGUCUGGCGGAAAUAUGCAGCGGCGGGGAGGAGGUAGAGGCAGUCGUUGGGUGUUCAACCAUGGUGCCGGAGAUAGCCACAGCGCUGAAUCAAAAGGCUCGGGCACACAGGCUACCUGCAGAGGCGUCCCCGACAAGUUGCUUGAUGCAGAUAGAUCCGUCAAUGGAGGCGAAAUGGGGGAAACGGCUGUCAUCUCUUGAUGGAAAACGAAGGGUCAUCCAAGUCCUAUGGAUGAUAUUCAACCAGCUGUAAAAAGUGCCUUCACGAAGGCUUCCAAGCAAGGAACUAGUUAUCCGAUCAGCAGAUCAAAUAAAUAUCUCAGGCAGGAAACACAAACUUUAAAA